AGAAUCAACGCUGGCGGCGUGCCUCAGACAUGCAAGUCGAACGAUUAAACUUUCCUUCGGGAAAGAUAUAAAGUGGCGCACGGGUGAGUAGCACGUAAGUAAUCUACCUUUGGGUGGGGAAUAACAGCCGGAAACGGCUGCUAAUACCGCAUAAUGCAGCGGCUCGACAUCGAGACAGUUGUUAAAGGCGGGGGAUCGCAAGACCUCGCGCCUAAAGAGGAGCCUGCGGCGGAUUAGCUAGUUGGUAAGGUAAUGGACUUACCAAGGCUACGAUCUGUAACCGGUCUUAGAGGACGGUCGGUCACACUGACACUAGAAGUAACGGGUCAGACUCCGACGGGAGGCAGCAGGUACGGGUAAUUUUGGGG
rnacentral:rRNA from 1 species